CGCAUCUGUGCAUGCAGCAUAUCAAUAAGCGGAGGAAAAGAAACUAACAAGGAUUCCCUUAGUAACGGCGAGUGAAGCGGGAAGAGCUCAAAUUUGAAAUCUUCAAGGUUUUACCUUGACGAAUUGUAGUUUAAAGAAGUGUUUUCUGUUGAAGUUUUGGUAAAAGUUCUUUGGAAUAGGACACCAUAGAGGGUGAGAAUCCCGUAUUUGACCAUUAUUUUCAGCUGUGUGAUACACUUUCAAAGAGUCGGAUUGUUUGGGAAUGCAGUCCAAAAUGGGUGGUAAAUUUCAUCUAAAGCUAAAUAUUGGCGAGAGACCGAUAGCGAACAAGUACCGUGAGGGAAAGAUGAAAAGAACUUUGAAAAGAGAGUUAAACAGUACGUGAAAUUGUCAAAAGGGAAGCGUUUGACACCAGUGUUGUUUUCUCGAAAAUCAAUUAAAAAGAGUUUGAUUUUGUUGUGUAUUGACCUUAACAGCUUGCAUUUCAAUUUUCUUGCUUUUUUUAAUGCACUUUUCGUUUAACAAGUCAACAUCAGUUUCUUUUGUUGUAAAAAGGUCAUUGGAAGGUGGCUUUCUUUUCGGAGAAAGUGUUUAUAGCCUUUGACUCCUGCAAUCGGAGAGACUGAGGUCUGCAGCGUAGAUCCUUCGGGGUUAGAUACAUCUGUGCUAAGUUAUAGCUUUUUAUAGACAACUUGUUGACUAUGAUUAGUCUUGUAGCUUACUCGCUUAUGCUAUUUUACCUACGCUUAGGAUGUUGACGCGCGUGUGUGCGUG
rnacentral:rRNA from 1 species